rnacentral:rRNA from 1 species
UACGUAGGUGGCAAGCGUUGUCCGGAUUUACUGGGCGUAAAGAGCGCGCAGGCGGUCGUUCAAGUCGCGUGUGAAAGCCCCCGGCUCAACUGGGGAGGGUCACGCGAUACUGAUCGACUCGAAGGCAGGAGAGGGAAGUGGAAUUCCCGGUGUAGCGGUGAAAUGCGCAGAUAUCGGGAAGAACACCCGUGGCGAAGGCGGCUCUCUGGAACGCAACUGACGCUGAGACGCGAAAGCGUGGGGAGCAAACAGG